rnacentral:rRNA from 1 species
AUUGAACGCUGGCGGCAGGCCUAACACAUGCAAGUCGAGCGGAGCGGCGGACGGGUGAGUAAUGCCUAGGAAUCUGCCUGGUAGUGGGGGAUAACGUCCGGAAACCGGCGCUAAUACCGCAUACUAUCAGAUGAGCCUAGGUCGGAUUAGCUAGUUGGUGGGGUAAAGGCCUACCAAGGCGACGAUCCGUAACUGGUCUGAGAGGAUGAUCAGUCAAACUGGAACUGAGACACGGUCCAGAGUCCUACGGGAGGCAGCAGUGGGGAAUAUUGGCAAAUGGGCGAAAGCGUGAUCGAGCAAUGCCGCGUGUGUGAAGAAGUUCGUCGGAUGGUAAAGCGCUUUAAGGUGGGAUGCGGUACCAACAGAAUAAGCACCGGCUAACUACGUGCCAGCAGCCGCGGUAAUUC